UCCCUGAUAUCUCAGUUGGUAAAGAAUCCGCCUGCAAUGCAGAAGAUCCCGGUUCGACUCCUGGGUUGGGAA
rnacentral:tRNA from 1 species